UACUAAUGGCAAUUUGGAGGGUUUUCUCCUCUUAUUUUUUAUUUUAAAUUUUUAGCAUGACUGGUUUUUCACAGAAGAAGGUGCAGAAGAGCCUCUUGAAACAGUUCAGGAGGAAAACACUGUAGAAUCUCAGCCAGUGCCAAACAUAGAUCAUUUACUGACCAACAUUGGAAGGACGGGCGUAUCUCCUGGAGAUGUAUCAGUUAUCCAUGUAAUUGUCAUCACAAGGUAAAGCAGAUCAAUGCUACUGAAUAUGUGGUUGCUGUGAAGGCAGAAAGUGUGACCUUCCAAAAGUUCUUGUUCUAGUACUAAAGGGGGUUUCAGCACUUUGUGACACAGGCAAAUCUAUACUGAUGUUGCACAACAGGCGAAACAGGAGGCGUCUAUCCCGUGGUCAUGUCACUAGUGGACGCUGUGGUGUCCCUGAUGGACAGCUGGACCUGUAGGAAGAAGGAGGACUGUUGCCCACACUGUAGCUACCUUGUCUGCAGAAAUCCCCCAUUCUUGUAAAUGCCAAAAUAGUUGACCUGUGCUGUAAAUUUUCUUUUAAGAGCAUUUUAAACAGAUCGAUGCUACUUUCUUCAAGUUUUUCUGCUGUUUCUUUUAUUUGUGAAAGCAGACCCUGAGGAGAAAUAGCAUGGUAUGAUCUACCAGUUUUUUAAGUCAUAAAGCAUUUAGCCAUGUGUCC